AUUCGUCUUCCCACUGACGCCGGCUCUGACCUUUCCUGAGGAAAACUGGUGGUGUCACUUGGAGCAGAUGGUGAACAGGAGCUUGCUCACCAAACGCUGGCAGCCAGCACCACAUUGAGCAAGACAUGGGAAAAGGGAAAAAGAAAGAAGGGGAAACUCAGAAAAAACAGAGGAUGUGCCCACCAAGAGUCCAGCUGCAAAGUUCCUACUUGCCAUCAAGUUCAGCAUCUUGGAUUUGUACAUGUGACAUCCCCAGAAGAGAGGGACUCAGAUGAGGCACAGCAAGGUCAGCCUUGUUUCUCCUGGUGAGCUGCCAGCCUGUUGUUUCCCACCACGCUCUCAGUGGGGCUGGCGAGGCUGUGGUGGCUCAGGGGUGCUGAAAGCAGGCCCAAUGCACAUCGAUAGUGUUGAUGCUACGCCUGGUUUGCCACACACACAAGUGACUGCCCUGCCUGUCCCUGCAUCAAAACAGUCUCUUAGAGUGACAUUCCGGGGCUCUUUUUCAGACCCCUUCAUCCAUGGAAGGAGUAAGCAAAGGAAGCUGGGAGACAGAUGUGCAGCUGAUGCAAACACAAAUCCUCCUAAUGAGCUCAGUGGAGCUGAACCAGUUCCAUCAGCAGAAGAAAUUUCCCUUUUUCCCCGGGUGACCUGCAGCCUGGCUCACUCAUACCGAGCCUGAGCGCUGUUGUUUUCUCCCAGGAACCUGCUUCCUGUAUGUUCUGAAAGGGAUGGUGAAAGCCCAAGGGAAGAGCUGAGGGCACAGAGCUGGAGCACCAAAGACAGUGCUGUUGAUUAACCACCCUGGUGGCUGCUGGGUUUCUUCUUGGGUGGCUCAGUUUGGCAGAGUGUGAGGCACUGACCUGGUGUCCUUCUGCAUGGCCAGGAUGCAUUGUAUCAGCCGGCAAAAACCUGGGUACGUGUAAUCCUUUACAGCUCACCACCCUCUCCUUAGCAAACACUUUGCUUUUUUAUUAUAGGGGGUAAUAAAUAAAUAAAUUCAUAUUUUUACAUAAUCAGCAACAACAAAGCUUUAGGGACUUCCUGAGAAUCUGAAAAUUUGAUUGCAAAAACAAGCAAAAAGACAUCUCCAGCAGUUAAAACUCAGGGCUGCGCUUUGAACUUUUGCCACGUUUUUUAAACAAAGUGAUCAGCUGUGAUUGCAUCCAGUUUGAGAUCAUUGCCAUAAUUAUUUUUAAUUAAAGCAUACUUAACUUAAAUCUUAUGAAGGUUUCUUUCAUGUCCCUGUAUAGCACCGAUAUUCACGUAUGAUACGACAUCAUUCACAUGCAAUUUUGCAGUUCGAUAUUGACUCACACAGCACCUGCCAGCUUAGCUAUGCUUUGAAAAUUCAAAAUAUUUUUCUGCAAGCAGGUUGUAGUGAAUGCCAAUACGAUGAUUACAUAAACAGAGGAAUCUACUGUCAUGCAUAACCACAAUUUUGUAAAUACCACAUCACACGUGUCCCCGCAUGUGCCGAUAGGUUUUUAUAGCAUACAGGGGAUUGAUUUUGCUGUGCCCUCAUCAAUCUAUUCCAUGUGUUGAUCUCAGUUUGAGGUGAUGAUGUGCUGUGGACAGGGAUUUGAUCCACACUUUCAAAAUCUCUGUGACUCUGGCUGUUUGACUGACAAAAUAAUCUCCUGCUCCCCCAAACUAGAGCCAGCCCCAGCUGCUGUGUUGUUCACUUUCAGGAAACUGUGAAAAACAGUGAAUGCAGCUACAACUGACUUGAGAGUCAGAAAUGUUUGGUAUGGAUAUAAUAGUGUUCCUGGGAGAACAGGAGAGGCCAUCUAAAUACCUAAUUGUCUUUAUUCUCACUAUACAUUCCUUUGGCAACUGCCUGCUGGGUCCAAGCAAGUGAUAUAAUUCCCUUCAGACCUCAAAUAAAGACAUUCUGACACAGAAAUCAGAAAACCAGCAAGUAUAUAAAGGUGGAAUACUAUUCAUUAGCUUAUGAAAAUAUAAUUUGGAUUUAGUAGAAAAUUAAACAAAAGUAUUUCUUUCACAUAUUUGAAACAAAUGUAUGGAGAACGUAAAUUAUUUACCAUACAAAUCUCCAUAUAAGCAGGUCCCCGAGUUUAGGUAAGGCUGGAAAUAGUAUUAAUUGAAAAGGUGUUGAUUGAAAAUUGCUUGUCUUCCUGAAAUUUACUGCCACCUUGAAUUAGUAUUCCUCAUGGUAAGUGCUUGUCAAACACAUGGCCAAUAAAUAACGCGGGUGGUGUAAACACAACUAUGUGAUCAGGAAGUUAAAAAAUGUUUGCUAAUGCCUUUUAGGGGGUCUUCCUGUUUCCCAGAUGAAGAGUUUUCCUGCCCAGAACAUUCUCAGAUAUCUGUAUGAGCCCGUGCUGGCUCAGCCAACAGUUCACCUCUGUUCUGCAGAUUUUAGCCACAGGAAUCGUUUCCAGUUCCGCUUCCCUAUUGCCUCGUGUUCUCAAAGGGAGCGGGUGCAAUCAGGAAUACCCAGCGUUACUAUUGUUGUUGCUAAACCAAAUGAGAAUAAAGUGGAAAAAACUCUUGAAUGGCCUCCUGGAAGCCAGUGUUUAACUCCUGGUGUUGGGAUGAAAAACACAGGUUUUUCUAUACCCUGGGAAGCAUCCAACACUAGUCUGCAUCAGAACUGCUGAAUAGACUGGACUUUGAGAUUGAGCCAGGAGAUUAAUUCCUACUUUCCUGUCACAGCCUCUUUCCUUUGGAAGGUGGAAAACAAGCCAAAAACCCCUAAAGCAGAGUGUCUGGCCUUUGCUGUUGGCUGCCAGGGCCCUGAGUGCACCCGUUGCCUGGCUUCUGGGAUCCCCAUGCACCCAUUCCCGCACUUGGCUGCUCCUCAUGUGCCUGCUGGAUGUCCCCAUCUGGUCAUGGACCCAGCACUAGGUCACCUCAGCCGCCACCAAGCUGCUCCCUGGCAUGGGCACCUGCCUCCAUCUCUUGGGCAAUUCAUCCAUCCCUCCUAACUCCCCUCUGUUAAGGGGCAGAAGUUUGUUCUGGGCCAGAGUACUUUAUUCUCAGUGUGCUUGGGGAGCUGGCCAGCCUUUGCCACACAGAGAUGGUCUUUACCAAGAGAGAUGUUGGAAUUUCACACAGGGAACGGGGUGACCUCUCCUGCUACCAAAUUAUAGGGAGGUAAACAAGUAAACCAGGAUCAGGACAAAAGGAGGUGGUGCUCCAUGGAAGCAGUGGUGGAGUUUAGGACCUCAGGAAGUCUUUUCCAAAGGGUGGUGUUUGGAUGGUGUUUCAUGAGUUCAAAGGGAAGAUGGCAAAGUGCCUGGAGGAGAGGCCCUUUGAUUACUGAAUGACGAAGUUCAGCAGGCUCUGGAAGCCCCAGAGCUGAACAUAUGGAGAUGUUGGGAGAAUAUUAGGGACAGAAGGAUAAUGUUACACUUGUGCUGCUCCUGCCCCCACCUCGCUGUCCACCUCUGGCCAUGGCUGGGCACAGAAUGAUGGGCCAGAAGGGUCCUUGUCUGGAGUGACCGUGGCCACCUCGUCGUCUCAUCAGUGGCUUUCAGGAACAGAACACAGCCUCUGAAUGAUGGCUCACAGAGAUCACCUCUUGCUGAGGUCCUGCCUCUGCAGAGGGCAAAUUAUUGCAUUUUUGUAAUUAAUAAUUUAGUUUUCAGGACAGGAGGGUUUGGGGCAACACUACUGCCUUCUUGUGUGGAUCCUUGGCAACGUGAAGUGCUUUUAUGGUGAUCAAUUUGGAUGGAUUUCCCUAUUGGUGUCUCAAACCUGUGAGCACAGGAACAGUAAAUACUACUAAAAAUUAGUUCUAACAUUAUUUGACU